rnacentral:rRNA from 1 species
CCUACGGGGUGCAGCAGUAGGGAAUAUUGCCCAAUGGGGGAAACCCUGAAGCAGCAACGCCGCGUGGAGGAUGAAGGUUUUCGGAUUGUAAACUCCUUUUGUUAGAGAAGAUAAUGACGGUAUCUAACGAAUAAGCACCGGCUAACUACGUGCCAGCAGCCGCGGUAAUACGGAGGGUGCAAGCGUUACUCGGAAUCACUGGGUGUAAAGAGCGCGUAGGCGGGAUAGCAAGUCAGAUGUGAAAUCCGAAGGCUUAACCAUAGAACUGCAUUUGAAACUGUUAUUCUAGAGUAUAGGAGAGGUAGGCGGAAUUCUUGGUGUAGGGGUAAAAGGCGUAGAGAUCAAGAGGAAUACUCAUUGCGAAGGCGACCUGCUAGAAUAUAACUGACGCUGAUGCGCGAAGGCGUGGGGAGCAAACAGGAUUAGAUACCCCGGUAGUC